UCGAUAUCUUAAGAGGGGGAGGAGGGGAAGAUGGGAGGCAAAGAGGAAACCGGAGUCUCGGAGAAAAAGGCUGUUGCUGGCUCGUACUGUCGUUCGAGCAUGUGCACGUCCUCCAAGCUUCGCUCCCUCUCUCUUGUCGACCUUUCCUUUUCUUUCACACACACACCUGUGCACCCACCGUAGGCUUUCGCAAGGAAGUCUAUGUUUUUUCACAUCACAACCCGUCGUAUGUCCAGAAGGUAUAUGUCAAACGCGAAAAAACCCCCCUUCGCCUCGCAAGAGGAGAGAAGGAGGGGCAUCGUCGAUGACACAGAAACAUAUACAACUUUCAGCAACGGAUCUCUUGGCUCUCGCAUCGAUGAAGAACGCAGCGAAUUGCGAUAAGUAAUGUGAAUUGCAGAUUUCCAGUGAAUCAUCGAAUCUUUGAACGCACCUUGCGCUCCUUGGUAUUCCGAGGAGCAUGCCUGUUUGAGUGUCAUCAAAUUCUCAAUCAUGUCCUGCGUGCAAACAAUGGACGUGACUUGGAGUUGGGAGUCGCUGGCUGUCCAUGCAGGGCGGUCAGCUCUCCUCAAACGCAUUAGCGAACGCUGUCUUGGUCUGAAAGACGUGCACGGCCUUUGACGUGAUAACGAUCGUCAUCGCUGGAGCGUCUUACUUUGGGGGGACCAUGUAUGCCAACGAUCGCUUUGAACCAGAACAACGAGGGCUUUCUGCCGGUCUGAAGCGAAGCAGAGUCAAGCUUAGCUACUAGCUUGCUUUCGAGCGAGCGAACGCGGCGAGACCGAGGCUUUCCAGUCCGAAAGAGGCUCUCAUUAGAAAUGGACGAACACGCGAAGGACCCAAGGGCGAAGACGUAGGGGUAGACCUUCGACAGACUGCCAGUCUAGGACGGACGAAGGCGAAGCCUAGCUACUAGCUUGCGAGAGCGAGCGAACGCGGGGACAAGACUUGGUCACAGAUCAGACCGGCGGUUCGGAGGUCGCUCGAAGUCAGAGUUCUACGUCCAGAGCGUGACGUCGAAAGGUGACUCAAU
rnacentral:sRNA from 1 species